GACGAACGCUGGCGGCGUGCUUAACACAUGCAAGUCGAACGGAAAGGCUCCAGCUUGCUGGAGUACUCGAGUGGCGAACGGGUGAGUAACACGUGGGUAAUCUGCCCCGCACUCUGGAAUAAGCCUGGGAAACUGGGUCUAAUACUGGAUAUGACCUUUCUCCUUAUGGGGUUUGGUGGAAAGUUUUUCGGUGUAGGAUGAGCCCGCGGCCUAUCAGCUUGUUGGUGGGGUGAUGGCCUAUCAAGGCGACGACGGGUAGCCGGCCUGAGAGGGUGAUCGGCCACAUUGGGACUGAGAUACGGCCCAGACUCCUACGGGAGGCAGCAGUGGGGAAUAUUGCACAAUGGGCGGAAGCCUAAUGCAGCGACGCCGCGUGAGGGAUGACGGCCUUCGGGUUGUAAACCUCUUUCAGCAGGGACGAGGCGUAAGUGACGGUACCUGCAGAAGAAGCACCGGCUAACUACGUGCCAGCCGCCGCCGUAAUAC
rnacentral:rRNA from 1 species